GACGAACUAGUUCUCUUCUACCUUAAGCCCAUGUUGAGCGGAGAGAUGGUGCCCGGCAGAAACCGCGUGGUGUUCGACUGCGACCUCUACGGUCACCAAGAACCGUGGGAGAUAUGGGAAGCCUACAAGACCAGAAGACCAAACGACUUGAGGCUCAACAAGGACAUCUACUUCUUCACCCAACACAAGACGAUGAGUUCCACAGACACACGCAUACACCGGACCGUUGGCAAUGGCACCUGGAAGGGCGACGACUCCGGCAAGCCAGUAAAAUCUCUGGAGACUGGUCGUGUGGUUGGCUUGAAGAAAAGACUUACUUACAAGAACCAAGCAUCGGAGCACAACGG
rnacentral:lncRNA from 1 species